GGGGACCCUCCCCCCCGAGACGCUGCUGCAGCGCGCGAGGGACUUCCUGGCGCUGUAUCACCGCGCCCUGCGCCGGGAGGACUCGGCGGCGCACGCGCGGCGCCUGGGGGAGGUGGCGGCCGCCAUCGCGGGCAGCGGCACCUACGUCCUGCGGGGGCCGGAGCUGGUGUUCGGGGCUCGCACGGCCUGGAGGAACGCGGGGCGCUGCGUGGGGCGCAUCCAGUGGAACAAGCUGCAGGUGUUCGACGCCCGGGACUGCACCAACGUGGGGCAGAUGUUCGGGUUCCUCUGCUCCCACAUCCAGUUCUCCACCAACCGCGGCAACAUCCGGUGAGACCCACGGCCGGACCCACAGCGGGACCCACGGCUGGACCCACAGCGGGACCCCCAGACCUGUGGCCUGACGCACAGCCAGACCCACAGCGGGACCCCCAACCUGGGGUGGGACCCCCAGACCUAUGGCCUGACCCAUGGCUGGACCUCUGACCCACAGCCAGACCCACAGCAGGACCCAUGGCGGGACCCCCAACCUGGGGUGGGACCCCCUGACCCACGGCCAGACCCAUGGCGGGACCCACAGCGGGACCCCCAACCCAUGGCAGGACUCCCCGACCCAUGGCCUGACCCCCUUACUCACGGUGGGACCCCCUGACCCACAGCCGGACCCACGGCUGGACCCCCAACCUGGGGUGGGACCCCCUGACCCACGGCC
rnacentral:lncRNA from 1 species